GCGUGUCUGCUGGGCAUGACGUCUCCCACCACCUUGACACCCGCCUCCAUUGCAGUCGGCACAUCACCCGCCUCCACAGCAGCCGCCACUGGUGCCACCGCACCUGUCUCCAACUCUAGUGCCGGACAGCUCGUGUCAUGCUAGCUCCUGUAGUUCUGCCUCCACUGGCUGCACCUGCAUGCACGCGUGCACACAUGUGAACACACCCUGCACUCCUGCCGCAAGGUGCCAAUGCCAAUGCAAGGCUGCCGGCCAAGAACAGAGUGCUUGGUAGUGCACCGGACCUAUCUCAUGAAGCGGGCCUGUAUGUGUUUCGGUGUGUAUGCCCACUGGUGAUGCGGACACUCACCGUUGCUAAACACAAUGUUGGAGGUGUGGCGGCAGUCCAGCCAGCCGACCUGGGGGAAGGGGCGUGUGGCAGCAGGCGGGUAAGUGACACGGACUAGAGGUACCAGGAAGUGAUAUAGACAUACAUACCAUACAGCACUAGUAAGGGAGGCAGCAAACAGUCAUCUCUUGAAGGCUGGGGCUCUGACUAGCGAACACAACGUGAGUGAAGGGGUUGCGAACCAUCUUGCGCCAGGGUUGCAGCCGCUGGGGACCUGCAUCUACCUGCAUCUACGGCAUCUCCUCAAACAUAUUUCCCAUGGACUCACCCUCGAAUGGCUCCUAGAAUCGUCCUCAAGAGCAUGGCGGAGGAUCCUGCAAGUACACAUACACACACACGGGGUUGUGACAUAUGGCCGGGCGGGCAAUCCAGGCUGCAGGUUUAAAGCCUCCCGUCUUCAUUUUAACCUGUGGACUAACCUGUGGACUUCCGUGAGGCGCGACAACGGUCGUGCUGAACGUGAUGUUGAAUGUAUGGCGUUUUUUACCAUUAAAACAUUAAAAGCACAGCUGAGCAUUUAUGAGGCACAGUUGUAAGUCUCAUGUGAUAGCUGGCUUCAGUUGACGUCUCAGCAGCAGCGUCGCCGAGCUGGUCAACGAGCGGUCAGCAGCGCGAGAACUCGCGUCCCAAGCCAACAAAGCAGCCUCAGCCACCAGCUUUUGUUCUACUGACAUUAGAAGUAGCCUUAUUUUGUGUUUACAAAGCAAAAUAGCGACUGGCGAGGGGCGGAAUGAGGGAGAGCGAGCAAACGCUCUAUAAUGAAAUGUAGUAUAUAAAUUAUAUGUAUACCGGUAUAUCAGUUAUCACAGCAUAUGUAUAUAUUAAACUGCUUGAAAAUGAAGGCCCGCAGGAACCCCAUGCAGAGGCUAGCGUUUUUCCCUCAGACCCCAACGGAAGGCCUGCGUAAUUUACUGGGAAAGAUGUCAGCUUUUAACUUAGUGUACUAGGAAGGAUGUAAGAAGGAGAAAACGGCCUCAACCCGGUGAUGUAAAGUUCUCUACACUCCUGGACGGCUUUGGGUGUUGGGGUUGAUUGAUUUUUAUAGGCAUUAGUCAAUAUACACAGUGUGGCCAAGUUCAAAUACACAACUUGACGAGUUGACAAACAUGGGGUUUGCGUCCCCCGGCCGGGGGACGCUCGACCACUUUCUCUGAGACACCCGAAAAGCCCGAAUUUCUGGGACAAGUACUCUAAAUGCAUAACAGACUAUUGAUAUCAACCGCUAAAGCCAUGUGCCAAGUGACAGCAGUGACCUGGGGGGUUCAUUGCUGCCUCGGUUGACACAGCCAGCUGCUCAGGUGCAUUCCUAUGCUCAGGAAGCAUACACUACAUGCAACUACAUUAAUAAAGUAAGAUUACAGCUCAGGAAGCGCGGCGGUCUGAGCUCGGCCGUCAGCGACGGCCGGAGGGUUACUGGGGGGUACGCUGGGGGGUUCAGGGGCUCGGCAGGGGCGAGGCCGCCCCAAGGAUCCCAUAGGCCUCGCCCCAGACUUCUCGCCCCUAUGUUCCCACUUAACAAACACUACAUUUGGGAGCUCUUACAUGGCCUUCUGGGCUGGCGAGGGUACAGGGGCCAGGUGAGUGCGGGGGGGGGGGGGGGGUUAUGGGGGUUGGUGAGGUUAGGGGCCGCCGAAACACUGACGUAGGGAGGAGGCGCGGCGCUGCUAAAUGCCAUCAAUGCAUGCUGCACAGUUGUGGUUUGGCAGACUACGUGGAUUGGGAAGCAUCAAGGGGAGACGGCAAGAUCAGCAGUGGGAUGAUCUUGGAUGGCAUGGGGUGAAGAAGAAGACGCACACUUUGCUCCCAAUGUUGCUGUCAGGGUUGCUGUUUGUAAACAUCUGUGUGCAUUACCAUCCAUGCGGGGGGGCAGCUGGAGGAGUACAGGUAUUACAAGUCCUCCCACGGUGUGUGUGAGGGAAGAGGGCAGGCCCCUACCUUAAGCAUAAGGCACGCACCAUCGUGGCUGGGCAGCGAGUGAUGAGUUACCUGCGGGUGACCAAUAGGGAGCCGCUGACAGUUCCGCCCCAAUGUGGUCUCCUAGCAUAACACCCCCAGCCAUGGCCGAAGGCACGGCCGUGGCCAGAGCUGCACGCAUCUACGCUGGGGGCAGGCCCUGGCCAGGCUGGGCGGGCCUGGGUGGCAGCUGGGCGGGCCUGGGCGGCGGCUGGGCGGCCCUGGGCGGCCCUGGGCGGCAGCUGGGCGGGCCUGGGCGGCAUCUGGGUGGGGGCUGAGCGAGCCUGGGCAGGAGCCACAUACCAAUGGGUUACC
rnacentral:lncRNA from 1 species